rnacentral:rRNA from 1 species
AUUGAACGCUGGUGGCAGGCCUAACACAUGCAAGUCGAACGAGCGGCGUACGGGUGAGUAAUGUCUGGGAAACUGCCCGAUGGAGGAGGAUAACUCCUGGAAACGGUAGCUAAUACCGCAUACCAUCGGAUGUGCCCAGAUGGGAUUAGCUUGUAGGUGAGGUAACGGCUCACCUAGGCGACGAUCCCUCGCUGGUCUGAGAGGAUGACCAGACACACUGGAAAUGAGACACGGGCCAGACUCCGACGUGAGGUAGCAGUGGGGAAUAUUGCACAAGGGGCGAAAGCCUGAUGCAGCCAGGCCGCGUGUGUGAAGAAGGCCUUCGGGUUGUAAAGCACUUGCAGCGGGGAGGCGUUACCCGCAGAAGAAGCACCGGCUAACUCCGGGCCAGCAGCCGCGGUAAUUC